rnacentral:rRNA from 1 species
UAAUACGGAGGGUGCAAGCGUUGUCCGGAUUCAUUGGGUUUAAAGGGUGCGUAGGCGGUACGCUAAGUCAGUGGUGAAAUCCUGGGGCUCAACCCCUGAAUUGCCAUAGAUACUGGCGUGCUUGAGUUCGACCGAGGCGGUUGGAAUGCGUGGUGUAGCGGUGAAAUGCUUAGAUAUCACGCGGAACACCGAUUGCGAAGGCAGAUCGCUAGGUCGCGACUGACGCUGAGGCACGAAAGUGCGGGGAUCAAACAGG